UUGAACCUAUGGCCGAUGCACAAUUUAAGCUUGAAACUGAGCCCUUCCCCAUGCUUGAUAACAAAGCCAUCCCACUGUUUUCUUUGAUUUGAAAAUCUUCUAGAAUGAAGGUUGUAGACAUAGUAAAACAAACCACAACUAAGCUGAGCCCGAUUAGAAGGAAGAAGAAAGGCUUCAAAGGAGACGAAGCUAGCUCUAACCCUCACCUUUUGCUCUUACUUCCUCAUUGUUUGCUGUUAGAUUGGGGUGGGCUUGUGGUUUUUCGUUCUCCAAAGAGAUUGCACAGGAUGUGAUUGA
rnacentral:lncRNA from 1 species